UACCAGGGUUUGACAUGCCGCGAAAGUUUAAGAAAUUAAACUGUGCCUUCGGGAACGCGGACACAGGUGGUGCAUGGCUGUCGUCAGCUCGUGUCGUGAGACGUUGGGUUAAGUCCCGCAACGAGCGCAACCCUUAUGUUUAGUUAUUAAUCUAGACAGACUGCCGGUGAUAAAUCGGAGGAAGGUGAGGACGACGUCAAGUCAGCAUGCCCCUUACACCCUGGGCUACACACGUGCUACAAUGGCCGGGACAACGAGAUGCGACCCUGCAAAGGUAAGCUAACCUCUUAAACCCGGUCUCAGUUCAGAUUGCAGGCUGCAACUCGCCUGCAUGAAGUCGGAAUCGCUAGUAAUCGCCGGUCAGCAAUACGGCGGUGAAUCCGUUCCCGGGCCUUGUACACACCGCCCGUCACACCAUGGAAGCUGGCCACGCCCAACGUCGUUACCCUAACCUUUUUGGAGGGGGGCGCCUAAGGCAGGGCUAGUGACUGGGGUG
rnacentral:rRNA from 1 species